CUAGUUCCUUCGAUAUCAGUGUAAUCUAAUAAUCAUGAUAUUUGCUGUCUUGGUGUAAUAUCAUACUUAUGAUUAUUAGAUUACACUGAUAUCGAAGGAACUA